GUAUGCUUCACUUUUCUAUUUCCUAGCCAAUAAAUCUCAUGUUUCUUCUGGAAAGUACAGUGAAGGCUAUCUAUGUUACUUUCAGUGUUGUGAGUGCUGAAGCAGCCAGUGCAGUGACACAUGUGUAUGUAUGUGUGUGUUUAUCUCUGACAAAAGAUACAGCAGAAAUCCAAGUAAGAACAGUAGGAUCCAUCAUUUUACUGUAUAGUCACCAAGUCCUUCUCCUAUUAGUUGUGAUGAAAGUUGUGUUUGCUUAUAAAUUUUAGUUCCAAGAGCUCUGGGAGGUCACAACUGAAUCAAUUCCUCUCUUCUACAAAGAGCUCAUUAAUUUCCCUUGCUACUAGUCCUGUUGGAGACCAAGGCAUAAUGGGGUUAACUCCAUGUUUAUAACUGUGGAUGGUGUAUUCAGGGAUGUAGAUGAGAUCUGAUGCUGAUCUGGAGCAGUGGUGCUGGGGAAAGUGGCAGAGCCCUCUUCCUCCUGGAUGCACCAGUAACACUGGUAUAGAUUUUAUUGGGUCUUGGCAUUGCUGGGACUCUAUUUAUCUUCAGAAAUUUGCUUCAAACGGAGAAAUUUGCUGAGAUAUGUUAAUAGAAAACAAGCAGAAAUGAAGAGCAAGGUCCCUUGCUCUUAAGCAAACAUCUUGCCUCUCCAUUGUGGGGCCUUGCUGGCAAGACAUGCUGUGUUUCAAAGGGAUGAAAUGAUUGUGUUAACCUGAACGUUUCUUCAGUGACCUCACUGUGGCUGUUGCCAUGCUUACCUGCAAAUACAAAAACAAACAGAUGGACUGGUUCUCAGCCAAGCACUCAGGAAAGAUCUGUGCUUGCCCAGGAAUUUGCCUCGCCUCUCAGUAGUACAGAAGACACUUGAAUCAUACACAGAUCCUGCCAGUCGUGUGCCAAAUGGACUCCCGUUUUCCAAAGGACUUAACAGCUGAAAUGAAAUUGGGAAGGAAAUUUAGGCUCUAAAGCCUGUGAUGUUUUGCUUCUCCUACUGUACAGUGAAUGCCACUAGAAUUUGGGAUGCCUUUGUCCAGGUUUCUCAGCUCAUACUGAUGUCUUGUGGAAUGGAGGGCACCCACACUUCAUUCAGUCUUCAGGAAACUCCUGCAUCUACAGAUAAAGGUAAUGGUUGUCACUCUCUCUAAAUCAUCUGAAAAAUGGCCAGGUAACCCAUUCACACUGAUUAUUAGUGUGUGUGUCCUACCUUUAUUCUCUUUUGCCCACAGCUCAUCCCUUAGCAUCUAAAUCUGAACUUUAACAAGAUAUUUUCAAAGUUAUGCCAAGAUAGAACUCACAAAAUCUUCCUGCUUUUCGUCUUGCAGUACUG
rnacentral:lncRNA from 1 species